ACGGAAGGCAGCAGUGGGGAAUCUUGCGCAAUGGGCGAAAGCCUGACGCAGCGACGCCGCGUGUGGGAUGAAGGCCUUCGGGUUGUAAACCACUGUCGGGAGGGACGAAGCUCUGACGGUACCUCCAAAGGAAGCACCGGCUAACUCUGUGCCAGCAGCCGCGGUAAUACAGAGGGUGCGAGCGUUGUCCGGAAUUACUGGGCGUAAAGGGCGCGUAGGCGGCCUGAUAAGUCGGGGGUGAAAUUCAGCGGCUCAACCGCUGGACUGCCUUCGAGACUGUUAGGCUCGAGCACGGUAGAGGCUGGUGGAAUUCCCGGUGUAGCGGUGGAAUGCGUAGAGAUCGGGAAGAACAUCGGUGGCGAAGGCGGCCAGCUGGGCCGUUGCUGACGCUGAUGCGCGACAGCGUGGGGAGCAAACAGGAUUAGAUACCCUGGUA
rnacentral:rRNA from 1 species